rnacentral:lncRNA from 1 species
GGGAGGAGGAGAAGCCCCUGGUACCUGCGGCGUCGGCCCCGCCUCUCCUGGCCGGUACUGUUGUUGCUUUGCCUCCCCUCCUCCCCAUUCCCCGCCCCCCGGGCCAUUGGAAAGACCCGGACUUCUAUUUUCUUGGACAAAUUGCCAUCGGCCCGCUUUCGCAAACUUGACGUGGAGGCUCGGGCUGCGUUGGUAACUGUGAUUUUCGAGACGAAAACGCCCGCAGUCCAACUGCUCUGUGGGGGUGGCUCCGUGCCCAUCUCCGAUCCUGGACACACGCGCCCCUCAAGCCUUCUGAAGCCAACCACAGUGCAAGGGAGCGCGUUCUCGUCUCGGCAGCCUCUCUCCCCUCCCCCUUCUUCUGCCGGCCCGGGGAGAGGCGUCCCGCUCAGCCGGAUACUCUGGCGGCUGCGGCGCUUGACAGCAACUCAGACUCCCUCCUGCGACCCCCCUUUCUCCCCAACAGGCCUCGAAAAGACCAGCGUGACCCCCCCGGACGCGGGGCGCGUCCAGGCGGGUCCUGUCUCCGCAGUGAUCCAGGAGCACUGGGGGGGAGGUCCUUGCGCAUGCCAGGUGCACAGACUACGCGAUAGCCAGCCCCAGUGCAGGUGCGCCGCGGCGGGCCGGGCACUGCUUGAGAGGCUGUACCCUCACUGCACUCCCCGCCUUCGCCUCAAGCGCGGUCAGGACUCAGCAGCGCGUCGACCCGGCCGCUCAGACGCCGUCCGACCCGCAGCCCUGCGCCGCUGCGGCCAGUCGAGCCCGGCUAACUUUGAAGGGGGAAAACUGAGUAGCCGGGCUGGAGGGAGGGGGCUCGGGGCCGCGCGGCGCUCCCUCGGCCCCCCGGAGCCCCCGGGUCCCCCGCGAGCCCCCGCCCGGUCCGCCGCAACCUCAGCAUUGGAGCCGGCGCGGGUGUCCCCCCCGCGCCGCCGGGCCGCCCUGGGCGAGACUCCUCCGGCGGCCUCCGGGGCCCCGGGGCGCGCGCAACAGGCGGCCCGAGUCGGCGGGAAGCUGGAGCGCCGGCGGCGUCGGCCUCGGAGGGGUGUGGAGAGGCGAGGC